GACGAACGCUGGCGGCGUGCCUAACACAUGCAAGUCGAGCGGAGAUACAUUGAAGAGCAAUCAGAUAUGUAUCUUAGCGGCGGACGGGUGAGUAACGCGUGGGCAACCUGCCUCAUACUGGGGGAUAACACAGGGAAACUUGUGCUAAUACCGCAUAAUAUCAUUAUAGGGCAUCCUGUGAUGAUCAAAGGAGCAAUCCGGUGUGAGAUGGGCCCGCGUCCAAUUAGCUAGUUGGUGAGGUAACGGCCCACCAAGGCGACGAUUGGUAGCCGAACUGAGAGGUUGAUCGGCCACAUUGGGACUGAGACACGGCCCAGACUCCUACGGGAGGCAGCAGUGGGGAAUAUUGCGCAAUGGGGGAAACCCUGACGCAGCAACGCCGCGUGAAGGAUGAAGGUCUUCGGAUUGUAAACUUCUUUGAUGAGGGACGAACACAAUGACGGUACCUCAAAACAAGCCACGGCUAACUACGUGCCAGCA
rnacentral:rRNA from 1 species